rnacentral:misc_RNA from 1 species
GAUGAAGAACGUAGCGAAAUGCGAUAAGUAAUGUGAAUUGCAGAAUUCAGUGAAUCAUCGAAUCUUUGAACGCACAUUGCGCCCGCCAGUAUUCUGGCGGGCAUGCCUGUCCGAGCGUCAUUUCAACCCUCGAACCCCUCCGGGGGGUCGGCGUUGGGGACCUCGGGAGCCCCUAAGACGGGAUCCCGGCCCCGAAAUACAGUGGCGGUCUCGCCGCAGCCGCUCCUGCGCAGUAGUUUGCACAACUCGCACCGGGAGCGCGGCGCGUCCACGUCCGUAAAACACCCAACUUCUGAAAUGUUGACCUCGGAUCAGGUAGGAAUACCCGCUGAACUUAAGCAUAUCAAUAAGCGGAGGA